AGUGGAAUAGCUGGGUCGAAUGGUGGUUCCAUUCCCAGCUUUCCCAGGAAUCUCCAUACUGCUUUCCAAAUUGGCCGCACCAAUUAGCAGUCCCACCAGCAAU
rnacentral:pre_miRNA from 1 species